AGAUGCGCCCCGAGGCAGACGGCCUCCGCCCCUCUCCCGCCUCAAGUGGACAAAUCCGCUCCGCCGCGAGCCACCGACUCGGGGCACGCCGACGCCCACACUCACCUGGUGCGCGAAGCCCCGGAGGUGAGCCAUGUCCCCGCCGACGUGACCAGUCCGUCGCAGCCGCUCCGCCCGCUCGCUUCAAGCACCUGCGAGAAACCGCAGGCCUCUCGGUCAACAGCGGCCCGGGGGACCCGUUCCGUGGCGUCCCUCCACCCGCGCCCUCCGGUCCCGCGCCCCCGACCCGCCCUCAGGGCGUGCCCGGCCUCCCCAACAUUCAGGCGAGGCCCGCUGGCAGCGCCCACCUCCGGGCGGCUCCAUCCCGGACUCCCGGCCCGCUUCGCAGUCCCCACGGUGGCUCACACCGCAAUUCUGUCUCCCGGAACGCCCAGGCCUCCCAGCCCGUGAGGUGGAGGCAGCGGCUAUGAGCAGGGCGUCGUGGCGAGCGCGAAGCUCUGUGGGACUAGGAGUCCCGCAGCCCGCCCCGUACCCCGGGCACGCAAAAUUGAGACUACAAGUCCCAGCAGGCUGCGCGGUAGGAUGCGAAGUUACGCAAGAGCUCCGAGGCCCUGUUGGCGUCAGACUACAAGUCCCAGGAGAACUUGCGGUGAGCGGUCAGUGGAGAGGCGCAAAUGCGCCACAGACUGGAUCAGAACCUUGAGAUACGCCCGGGCUGGGCCGCCCCUCCUGUCUGGCCGCGCGGUGUGACGGGUGCAGCGCGUGCGCAGUUGUCUUGACGUUUUCUAGGCUUGUUUUCUCUCUCUCUCUUUUUUUUUUUUUUUCAGCCCUCCUCUCAUUUUCCCAGCUCUGUUUGCCAAGCCUCUGGGGCCCAUACUGUGUGCCUGGAGUGCGAACCCACAUUACCCUCAGAUCCUGGUGCUCCAGCUUUAACCGCAGUGUCACCUUCUUGUCUGCACUUAGCAACACACACACCACGAGUACGCGCACGCGCACCCUUAGAAAAGUCGCCCAUAGCUUGGACAAGUGCUUCUCUUCUGCCUCAGUUUCCCUAUCUGAAAAGGUGUAAUCGAGGUCCCCAGGAAAUGACCUGAUGCUGUGAAGACUUGUGUGGUCCAGCGGGAUUUCCCAAGGCUGGAAGAUGCCCUUCAUCCUGUGAAUUCAGGAUGAGUGACCUAGUCAGCAAUGUCCACUUCUAUGCAGUCUCCUAGUGUUCCACAGGAGGGAGAUUUGGCUCCAUACUGUGUCCAUUCUGCUGAACCAACGUCUGUGACUGCUCAGUACAAACCACCAUAAUGUCCCCACUCCCCAACUCAUAAAGGCUUUUGGCUUUUUGUU
rnacentral:lncRNA from 1 species